UAGAGAGAAAAUGGGACAACUCAAAUAACAGGCCUGCUCGAGAGCUGCAGCCUUCACCAAUAUUUCACCCGUGCCCUUCCAGGAAAGCGAAAGUUUUUAUGACGACGCGAUCAUUUCACUACCUGUCCAGCCAAAAGGUCCAAGCACUUCUGGUCUGCAGCAGUGUGGAUGACUUGCUCAAGCUGGACCAAACCCCAUCACCUCCAUCCUCUCCAUCAAGGAGUUCCGGAUACGCUUCAGAGGCUGCUUGCCUUGUUGCCUAGCAACAUACAUGCCAAUGGAGCCAUUCUGUGGCAUUUGAACUGACGCGAUGACACCCAACGCCCAAUAAAAGAAUGACCACCCCCAAAAUGCCA